GUGUUAUUUAAUAAACUUUGCCCCGACAGAGAUUCCAUUUCUGAAAUGCUCCACAGGCCAGUUUUACUUCUUUAAAAGACAUUCGAAUGGAGUUUGUAAGGAGAGAAAUACAUAGGGAGGCGCAGCAUGGCGCCACCCUACAAAGGUGCACAGGUGUGAGAAAAGGUUCAGAAUAUUGUGUUUUCAAGGAGUGCACUUGCCCGUUAAACAGGCCAGCAACAUCCCCGAGCAUUCUUUAAUGAUCCUUCCGCAGGUUCACCUACGGAAA
rnacentral:misc_RNA from 1 species